rnacentral:rRNA from 1 species
GUAGGUGGCAAGCGUUGUCCGGAAUUAUUGGGCGUAAAGCGCGCGCAGGCGGUUCUUUAAGUCUGAUGUGAAAGCCCACGGCUCAACCGUGGAGGGUCAUUGGAAACUGGAGAACUUGAGUACAGAAGAGGAAAGCGGAAUUCCACGUGUAGCGGUGAAAUGCGUAGAGAUGUGGAGGAACACCAGUGGCGAAGGCGGCUUUCUGGUCUGUAACUGACGCUGAGGCGCGAAAGCGUGGGGAGCAAACAGGGAUUAGAGUACCCUGGUAGUCCACGCCGUAAACGAUGAGUGCUAAGUGUUAGGGGGUUUCCGCCCCCUUAGUGCUGCAGCUAACGCAUUAAGCACUCCGCCUGGGGAGUACGGCCGCAAGGCUG